CCCUUAGAUGUUCUGGGCCGCACGCGCGCUACACUGAUGCGUUCAACGAGUCUAAAACCUGCUCUGAUAGGGGUGGGUAAUCUUUUGAAUGUGCAUCGUGAUUGGGAUAGAUGAUUGCAAUUUUUCAUCUUCAACGAGGAAUGCCUAGUAAACGCAAGUCAUCAGCUUGCAUUGAUUACGUCCCUGCCCUUUGUACACACCGCCCGUCGCUCCUACCGAUUGAAUGAUCCGAUGAAUAUCAUGGAUUGAGGAUGUAAGCAGGUUCGCCUGUCUUCAUCUUCGAGAAGUGAAGUAAAUCUUAUCAUUUAGAGGAAGGAGAAGUCGUAACA
rnacentral:rRNA from 1 species